CCUACGGGGGGCAGCAGUGGGGAAUAUUGGACAAUGGGGGGAACCCUGAUCCAGCCAUGCCGCGUGUGUGAAGAAGGCCCUCGGGUUGUAAAGCACUUUCAGUGAGGAAGAACGCCUGGUGGUGAAUACCCAUCAGGAAAGACAUCACUUACAGAAGAAGCACCGGCUAACUCCGUGCCAGCAGCCGCGGUAAUACGGAGGGUGCGAGCGUUAAUCGGAAUUACUGGGCGUAAAGCGCGCGUAGGUGGCUUGAUAAGCCGGUUGUGAAAGCCCCGGGCUCAACCUGGGAACGGCAUCCGGAACUGUCAAGCUAGAGUACAGGAGAGGAAGGUAGAAUUCCCGGUGUAGCGGUGAAAUGCGUAGAGAUCGGGAGGAAUACCAGUGGCGAAGGCGGCCUUCUGGACUGACACUGACGCUGAGGUGCGAAAGCGUGGGUAGCAAACAGGAUUAGAUACCCUGGUAGUC
rnacentral:rRNA from 1 species